UACGGAGGGGGCUAGCGUUGUUCGGAAUUACUGGGCGUAAAGCGCACGUAGGCGGCUUUGUAAGUUAGAGGUGAAAGCCCAGGGCUUAACCCUGGAAUUGCCUUUAAGACUGCAUCGCUAGAAUCGUGGAGAGGUAAGUGGAAUUCCGAGUGUAGAGGUGAAAUUCGUAGAUAUUCGGAGGAACACCAGUGGCGAAGGCGACUUACUGGACACGUAUUGACGCUGAGGUGCGAAAGCGUGGGGAGCAAACAGG
rnacentral:rRNA from 1 species